AAGGCCACCGGUUGGUUAAGACUGCUUUUAUACCGGAAUAAACCUUUGUUCGUGAACAGAGCUGAAUGUACGGUAAGAAUAAGGAUCGGCUAACUCCGUGC
rnacentral:rRNA from 1 species